UGCAAGCGUUAUCCGGAUUCACUGGGUUUAAAGGGUUCGUAGGCGGCUUGACAAGUCAGUGGUGAAAGCUCGCAGCUUAACUGUGAAACUGCCAUUGAAACUGUCUGGCUUGAGUACAAUUGAAGUGGGCGGAAUACAUCAUGUAGCGGUGAAAUGCUUAGAUAUGAUGUAGAACACCGAUUGCGAAGGCAGCUCACUAAAUUGUAACUGACGCUGAGGCACGAAAGCGUGGGUAGCGAACAGG
rnacentral:rRNA from 1 species